GAUGAAGAACGCAGCGAAAUGCGAUAGGUAAUGUGAAUUGCAGAAUUCAGUGAAUCAUCGAAUCUUUGAACGCACAUUGCGCCCUUUGGUAUUCCGGGGGGCAUGCCUGUCCGAGCGUCAUUGCUGCCCUCAAGCACGGCUUGUGUGUUGGGCCUCCGUCCUCCUCCCGGGGGACGGGCCCGAAAGGCAGCGGCGGCACCGCGUCCGGUCCUCGAGCGUAUGGGGCUUCGUCACCCGCUCUUGUAGGCCCGGCCGGCGCUUGCCGACACAUCAAUCUUUUUUCCAGGUUGACCUCGGAUCAGGUAGGGAUACCCGCUGAACUUAAGCAUAUCAAUAAGCGGAGGA
rnacentral:misc_RNA from 1 species